rnacentral:rRNA from 1 species
AUGAACGCUGGCGGCGUGCCUAAUACAUGCAAGUCGAGCGAACAGACGAGGAGCUUGCUCCUCUGACGUUAGCGGCGGACGGGUGAGUAACACGUGGAUAACCUACCUAUAAGACUGGGAUAACUUCGGGAAACCGGAGCUAAUACCGGAUAAUAUAUUGAACCGCAUGGUUCCAUAGUGAAAGACGGUUUUGCUGUCACUUAUAGAUGGAUCCGCGCCGCAUUAGCUAGUUGGUAAGGUAACGGCUUGCCAAGGCAACGAUGCGUAGCCGACCUGAGAGGGUGAUCGGCCACACUGGAACUGAGACACGGUCCAGACUCCUACGGGAGGCAGCAGUAGGGAAUCUUCCGCAAUGGGCGAAAGCCUGACGGAGCAACGCCGCGUGAGUGAUGAAGGUCUUCGGAUCGUAAAACUCUGUUAUUAGGGAAGAACAAAUGUGUAAGUAACUAUGCACGUCUUGACGGUACCUAAUCAGAAAGCCACGGCUAACUACGUG